GGGGAGGCCGGCGAGUUAAGGAGGUCCGGCCGCGCUGGUGCGUGCUGUGCGCGGCUGCCAUUUUGGAGUCGGGCAGCUGAGACAAGCGGCCGGGUUCGGCCGAAGAGGGAGGAGCCAGUCAGUGUCAACAGGACUCCAUAUGGCAUUCAAGUCUGCACUUUUCCUAAAUACUGCAUCCGAGGCUGUGGAACGGGAGAGGAAUUCUGAGGUGAUGAUGGACUGAGUAGCGUGGACUGUGUAGCACUUCAGAGCUGGAAAACAACUUAACAAAUGGGGCCUUAGUUAAUCUUCACAACAAUGUUAGGAGGCGAGAGAUCAAGGUUUUUUAUGCUGGCUCAUUAAGUGAAAUAACAGAAGUCCGCAGUGCCAAAGAGGCACGGCCCGUGUCACCAACCUGAGAAGGGGCAGUAUCAGAAUAGAGCGGAGGCCACCUGAUUCCUCAGAACUCUACUGCCUUACCAGGGUCAAGUUAAGGACAGCCAUGUUAAGUCAGAGCGUCUUCACAAGAACAGACCCCACAAAUAACUGCCAGAAAAAUUGAAAAGGAAAAUUCAACACCAGAAAUCAAAGAGCAAGCAAGUGUGUUUGAGUUUCAAGCGUUAGACUCAUCUGAUCAAUUAAAAUUAGUAAGUCAAUUAUUUCUGUGGACGUUUGUCUAGCUACUCCUCUCAGUUUCUGCUUGACUUCAAGACAGAAGUUUUCACCAAAACCCUGCUUUCCUCAUAGUAUGGUCCCUCUAACAUCUGUGGUGGUCAUAUCGAGGACAUCUAAAACCUUCUCUGUAGGAACUGUGGCAAUGGAGACUCUUUCCUUCCCGUGCUAAGUAUGACCUGUGUCUACUUGAGGGUUGAAACAUUUUGUUUCCAUUCAAACAUCUGCAGGUUUUUGCAGAUGCCUGUGAAGUGAGAGGCCGUGUUAGAAAUACAGCUUGAGGUUGGAACAUAGGCAGAGUUGGAAGGGCCCUGGUGUUUAAAGCAUGAAUAAUGUUAUUACCAGUCUUACUUUAUAGAACUUUCUCCCCAUCUCAUGUAACUGCUUCUACCUUAAAAUGCAGCAAGAUCCAGUCGCUUCCAUUUUUGGACGUUUGAGGUUUUAACACGUUUGACUGCUGGCGUUGCAGAAGGGGGAACACGUGUGUGCGCGACCUCUGAAAGGCGCUGACAUUCUUCAGUACUGACCGGCAGUUAUAUUUCCAACAGGUGGGAAUACAGGACAGCAUUGGCAAAGGAGUCACUAGUGAGAAUUUUAAUCAGGAUUUGGCCCAGCCACUGCUGGUUCUGUGGCUGCUUCACGAUGUACAUCUUUAGGAAAGAUCUUCCACCAAGUGGAGAGUUGGCAAGAAGCGCCAUUCGAUUUUAUUGACAGCAGAGCCACUCGAGCUCACUUGAGCUUACAUAAAGCCUAAAGAGAACCGUUCCUGUUAGCUGUUUGAAUGUACUCAAGGAGCCACAAACAGAAAAGCAGUAUUUAAUUCUGAUGCCGUCCAAACAUUCUCGAGACUCUAAUAGGCUACCCAGUCUCUGUCCGAGAUUUGCAGAAGGAAACUAAACAUUUCUGAAAAUGUUGUCUAGCCUAAACAGAAUGUUCACUCCGUACCUGGCCACGGGAGCGAUGAAGAGGGAGAUGUGUGAA